UUUGAGAGGGGAAGGUCAGUCGGUCGGUCUGUCUCCAAAGGUGGGAGACCAGCACCACGGACAGCGCAGUGCUGGCCAGGCUCAGGGAGGCUAGGGAGCCCGUAGCCUGUAGGCUCUGAAGGGAAGGGCCUAGCGGGUGCAAGGGGCCGUCGGGGAAGCGGCCCAGGGAAGCAGACAGCAGAGGGGAGACAAGGAGGACAGCGAAACUGCCGCCAGAGGGUCCCUGGGCCAAGACGCAGAGUAGAGGGCGGGCCUGGGGCACCCCCUCUUGCAGUACACCCAGCCAUGGGCCGUAGGGAGCGGCCAUUACAGACUAUGCCAGAUCCCUGACAAGAGGGAUUGGACUCAGAGGGUGUGGUUGGACAUGGCUGCUGGAGUGUAGGACUGCUGAUCACCAACCCCUGGAAGUGGGUGUGGAUGGACUGAGGGGCACUGCCAGAGGGCAGUGGCCUCGAAGAGGACGCUGCUGAGCAGGGAGAGACGUGGGUCCAGAGAUGCCAACUGAGGGCGGAAUGAUGGAUGGGACACCACCAGGAGGGGGCGCUCCACUGGACAGAGCUAAUUCCCAGAGUCACCAGCGGGAGGUGCCAGGUGCAUCAUAGAUGUUCAUGGAAUUCUACAGUAAAAGAGAAAUAUAAGGCCUUCCCCUUGGAGCUAACAACAUGAGAAAUGAACAACAGACCUGGAGGACAAAACUACAGAAAAUCAGGGACCAUGUCCCUCAGAUGCUGAGCAGAUGAUGAGUUCCAGAAUGCUUGAACCAUUGAGAACCUCAAGAGCUGCAGAGUUAAACCCUGAUCUGCAUGGGAGGCUAUGCAAGAAUGGAAAGGAGCAACCUUCACCAUUUUGCCAACCAGGAUGGAAAAUGUGUUCCAUUCCUCUCGCCACCCCUUCCACCACCACAGCCCCUCCUCCCUGCCCGAGGUAGCUGAAAACAAAAGGCUGGCGAAUCAGGAUCAGAGAGGAAAAAAAUGGACCAGCACAACAGGUCAGUGCCCCUGGGAAGUUGCUAGCCAGGGCAACUUCCCUGCGUACCCACUCCUAGACUCAACUUGCACAUUCACAGGGCCUCAUCUCCAGCUCUCACUGUAGUAAAUGGGAGUCUUUCCAUUGUCUUCAGUGCAAGCUGAGUCAUGACUUCAAUGAGGCCUAAUUUCUCCUGGGCCAAAGAGAUUUUUUUUAAAAAGAAACCCAAAUAAAACAACACAAGCUGUAAAGAACUCAUGCAGCCUGUGCAGGGCAUGUGAUUACAUGAAUAUAGCUUACCACCUAUUGGUCACUGCUCACCAGAGACUGCCCAUGGCAGCUAUAUAUGAACCCAGAAAGU